rnacentral:rRNA from 1 species
AUGAGGAAGAGAUCAACACCAGCCGCGGCAACAAAGAUGACAACGUGUCUCAGUGGGCAUGAGCAAUGGCACACUCGUGUCGAGUACCUACCGAGAUGCUUCCCUGGUCAGACUUCGAGCACAUCCUCCUUGCCGACGCCGCCUUGGCUAUUGUUGUUGUCUCCUCGGAUAAGCUGUAUUAGGUUGGUUCCAUUGCACUGCAAAUACUACCACUUCUAUUGGGCAACUAAAUACAACUUGCAAGCACGGGAAAACAUGUACACCAAUGUUGUCGGGCGCGCGGAAGCCAAUUCCUUGGGUCACCCAUUGUUCAUCUGCUGCUCUAACCAAUAUUGUUUUGCUGUGGAGAAAUUUUAUGAUGUGCCCAAUUAUGGACCGUACAUUGAUAAUGAUCUAAUGGUUAGGAUGAUGCAUCAUUUGAUAAUUCAAGAAAAGACAUGGAGUAGUAAUUGCUGGGACCAGAUCCAUGCACCAUCAUCUGAAACCCAUGUAUUCAUGAGGUGUGAUGUUAAUUUUAACAAAUCUUCCCAUGGACAGAACCUCGAUACCAUGAUUCACAUACCAACCCACAUAGAAUUUGUGUAG